rnacentral:rRNA from 1 species
AUGUACAUUCCUACAACAUAGUGUUAAUGCAUCGAAUCUCAUUAGAACUCUACAUAGUUAAGCGCACUCAGGCUAGAGUAGUACUAGGAUGGUUGACCGCCUGGGAAGUCCUAGUGUUUUACAUG